rnacentral:rRNA from 1 species
GACGUAGGGCGCGAGCGUUGUCCGGAUUUAUUGGGCGUAAAGAGCUCGUAGGCGGCUUGUCGCGUCGACUGUGAAAACCCGCGGCUCAACUGCGGGCCUGCAUCCGAUACUGGCGGGCUUGAAUCCGGGAGAGGGAUGUGGAAUUCCAGGUGUAGCGGUGAAAUGCGUAGAUAUCGGGAGGAACACCAGUGGCGAAGGCGGCGACCUGGACGGAUACUGACGCUGAGGUGCGAAAGCGUGGGGAGCAAACAGG